rnacentral:rRNA from 1 species
ACGAACGCUGGCGGCGUGCCUAACACCUGCAAGUCGAACGGAAAGGCCCUGCUUUUGUGGGGUGCUCGAGUGGCGAACGGGUGAGUAACACGUGAGUAACCUGCCCUUGACUUUGGGAUAACUUCAGGAAACUGGGGCUAAUACCGGAUAGGAGCUCCUGCUGCAUGGUGGGGGUUGGAAAGUUUCGGCGGUUGGGGAUGGACUCGCGGCUUAUCAGCUUGUUGGUGGGGUAGUGGCUUACCAAGGCUUUGACGGGUAGCCGGCCUGAGAGGGUGACCGGCCACAUUGGGACUGAGAUACGGCCCAGACUCCUACGGGAGGCAGCAGUGGGGAAUAUUGCACAAUGGGCGGAAGCCUGAUGCAGCAACGCCGCGUGCGGGAUGACGGCCUUCGGGUUGUAAACCGCUUUCGCCUGUGACGAAGCGUGAGUGACGGUAAUGGGUAAAGAAGCACCGGCUAACUACGUG